rnacentral:rRNA from 1 species
UGCUGGAGGUAUCAGAAGUGCGAAUGCUGACAUAAGUAACGAUAAAGCGGGUGAAAAGCCCGCUCGCCGGAAGACCAAGGGUUCCUGUCCAACGUUAAUCGGGGCAGGGUGAGUCGACCCCUAAGGCGAGGCCGAAAGGCGUAGUCGAUGGGAAACGGGUUAAUAUUCCCGUACUUGGUGUUACUGCGAAGGGGGGACGGAGAAGGCUAUGUUGGCCGGGCGACGGUUGUCCCGGUUUAAGCGUGUAGGUGUGUGUUCCAGGUAAAUCCGGUUCACUUUAACACUGAGGCGUGARGACGAGGCACUACGGUGCUGAAGCAACAAAUGCCCUGCUUCCAGGAAAAGCCUCUAAGCAUCAGGUAACAUCAAAUCGUACCCCAAACCGACACAGGUGGUCAGGUAGAGAAUACCAAGGCGCUUGAGAGAACUCGGGUGAAGGAACUAGGCAAAAUGGUGCCGUAACUUCGGGAGAAGGCACGCUGACACGUAGGUGAAGUGAUUUACUCAUGGAGCUGAAGUCAGUCGAAGAUAC